UAGAAGGAGAAAAACAAAAGAAAGAAGAGAAAACAUAGAGAGAAGAUCGGACAAGCCUAGGAAAAUUUUAUUCCUUGAAAUCAUGUUCCAAAAAUUAUUUUCUCCUAGUAUUCCUACUAAUUCAAGGGUCCUCUACAAUAUGAUGAAGUUAUUUUGGAAGAUAGGAGCCUUGUUUGGUUGAUUGGGUGUCUUGGUGAAGUGAAGAAGUUGGAAGAAAAAGGUAUCGAAGUUCGAUUUGCUGAUCCACCUGUUUAGGAUAUAUGCUGCGUCGUUGACACUGCUCCCUUAUUCGGAGCUUGUAUUUUGGUACUGACUUUAUCUCUGUAUAUUUGGAUAUGUUGGUCAGGGGUACGAUGGGGCCCUGUCCCGUCAUAUGACUAUGCUAUCAUCUGUAGAGGUUUGUAGACAGAGUUAUGUUGUGAGUUUUGCAUAUAUGAUUUGGGUUUUGUGUGUUU